AUUGAACGCUGGCGGAAUGCUUUACACAUGCAAGUCGAACGGCAGCACGGGGCAACCUGGUGGCGAGUGGCGAACGGGUGAGUAAUACAUCGGAACGUGCCCAAUCGUGGGGGAUAACGUAGCGAAAGUUACGCUAAUACCGCAUACGAUCUACGGAUGAAAGCGGGGGAUCGCAAGACCUCGCGCGAAUGGAGCGGCCGAUGUCAGAUUAGGUAGUUGGUGGGGUAAAGGCUCACCAAGCCAACGAUCUGUAGCUGGUCUGAGAGGACGACCAGCCACACUGGGACUGAGACACGGCCCAGACUCCUACGGGAGGCAGCAGUGGGGAAUUUUGGACAAUGGGCGCAAGCCUGAUCCAGCCAUUCCGCGUGCAGGAUGAAGGCCUUCGGGUUGUAAACUGCUUUUGUACGGAACGAAACGGCUCUCUCUAAUACAGGGGGCUAAUGACGGUACCGGAAUAAGAAGCACCGGCUAACUACGUGCCAGCCGCCGCAGUAAAAC
rnacentral:rRNA from 1 species